rnacentral:misc_RNA from 1 species
CGUAGCGUACAUUAGACGUGACCUUCUAUCUUCUUCCCAGUGGUAGGCCCCCUCUAACACGCUACAUCCCCCUACCCGUCCUUCCUCGCUUCUACCUAAAUCGACCUUGUUUCACUUUACCCGCGAUGUGCGGCUGUAUGGGUGGCGCACACCUUGCUUUAUGCUUUUUCUUUUCCUUGUAGUGUAUAUACACUGUUGACCUCGCUGACGGCGCCAUCUUCAUUGACGUCCGUCUCUUGGACCUCUGCAUAUUUUUGUGCGCAUGUGUUGCAAGUGUGGCUGUGCCUAAUGGGCAUACCCCUCCCCCUUUUCACUUUCCCCCUGUCACUCCUGCUCUGUGCGCAUGUGUGUUUGUAUAUGUAUGUGUGGUACAGGUGUAGAGCUUGCUCGUUUAUCUAUUUAUUUUUUGUCGUCUCCUCGCUCCGAAAGGGCACUGCUGUCUCGCCAUCACAGACUCACCCCACCCCAACCCUACCUUCCCAAGUGUGUUUCAGUACUUCUGAAAGAAAUCGUUGCUUGUAUUCGUUUUCUCUCUCUCCCCCUCUCUCUGUGCGUGCGAGUUGAUCAGGCGCUUCCCUUAGCCUCUGUAGUAAGUCACCUUAAACUUCCCUUGACCCCAGCGCACCAGUUAUUUGUCCCUCUCCCUUUGUGCGUGCGCGUGUGUUUUGACCAGUCACAAAGACAAGAACGAUUCGAAACCUCUAAAAAAAAAUGUUUUCGAAAGUUGUCCCGUUAGCGACGCGUGAAGAGGACACCCCCGACGACUUGGCUCGCGUGCCCCUCCACCGCUGUGAGGGUGUGCCCGUUGCUGCAACCAACGCGUUGGCAGCGCCGUUUAUGCGCGCAUCAGGCAGCGGGCGGGCAGCUGAUGUGGUGGUGUGUGGCGGUAACAGCGACCACGAGAUGGACGAUGUCCAGUCCGGCCCGCUCGAACGCGAUAACGAGCAGAUCGCAGCGGCAGUAAAGGCUACCAACGGCGCCGGGGUGCGUCGGCGCAGGAUGGGCGAAGUGUACCCGAUCAUGAAGAACACGAUCUACUCCGAUGAGGAGUGCGAGGUGGUGGUGGUGCUCACCUCGUGGGACUGCGGCAUGCGGUUCAUUCGCUACAUCAGCGGCCUCUUCCAGUAUUUUCUGCGCAAUCCCAAGGCAAUGGGGUUCAUCUUCACCACGGUGAUUAUUCUCCUCUUUUUCAAGUAUGCGCAGCAGGUCGUUGUGAAGGCGGUGAACGCCGCCGUGCGCGCGCAUCCCGGGCUUGAGCCGACCGAUACCAUCCGCAGCGCCGUCACGUCCUUCACGGAGGAGCUGCGCGCUCUUGAGCGGGCUGCGCAGACCAUCGGCUGGGCCUACAUGCGAGAUUCGGUGGAGGGGUGUGACAUCGGCAGCGCUGUUGGCACCACCUUUUCUUCGCUCGUCAGAAACUUCCAACUCAGCUUCAUGGCCAACAUGAAGACCUACGUCGUGUAUGCUUUGCCCGCCGCAGCCUCGACGGCCUUCACGAGUCGGCACUGGGGUCAGAUCGGCUGUGCCUCCAAUGAAACCAACAGCUCCAUAUGCUUCUACGUGUCCAAGGACAGCACGGUGAGGCAGUGGGACACGGUCUCGAACACUGGCGACGGCGGCCCCUUGGGGCGGAGAGCGUACAUCGAGCAGUGCAUGCCCGACCUGCUCUCAGUAGCGACCACGGCCACCAAGGGAAGCGCUCUGGCGGCAUCGGGUGUGUGGACGCGGGCCUACAUGGCAUGCAACAUCGUCCCGCAAAAGACUGUGCGCACGAUCAGCUACCUUCUCCCCAUCGCCUUCAAUGCUGAGGGCUACGCGACCGCCAUGGCUGGCAUAGACGUAAGCUUAGAGUUGCUGAUGGAGAUCGUGAACGCGACGGCCACGCCAAACAUCGAGCUCGUCAUCGUGGACAACCGCUACAACGCUAGCAAAGGCGGGCAGUUCGUAUACGACUCCUUCGACGAGUCGAUCUUUUCGCCGACCCCGUACGGAGUGCUCGAUGCGCCGGUCGGUCGCAUCAGAGACUUGGCUGAAUCCGUUUGGAGUGAGCACGGCGGCACCUUGGCGCUAAAUGGGUCCUUCUACCGGAACGGACUCAUCUAUCAGUCGCUCACGAUGAUGUCGCACUGGACCCUGAUUGCCAGCUCACCGCUGGCUCUCUCCGUAGCGGAGGUGGCAGCCUCGCUGGGUGUCAUUGUGAAGGAGAGCAAAGGGGUCGCGACUGUCGCGUCAGGUCUCUACCACGACUGUGAGACAGCCGCCAACAAGCAGCAGAACAGCGUAACGGUGGAGGCGUUUGGUGAGAUCGAGCAGGCCUUCGGCACGCAGCUGCACUCCUUGUACACAUCGUACACACUUGCCGGCACCACGAAGAGCAGAAGCAGUAGUGCGAGCGUCGAGAGCGAGUCCUCGCACAACUCCAACGCAGUCGGCGGAAGCGUCAUCCACGUGUUGCCUUACUCGUCCGCGUGGGCACAGUCAUCGGCGGUGUCCUCCGCUGCGAAAGCCACCCUUGCGACUCCUGCGGCCUCGACCAGCAGAGGCGGGAACGAGAUGGAGAUGCUCAUGCUGCAGGCGACGACGGAGCGUCUCCCUGUAGACAUUCCUGAUGUUAAUGCCUCCUGGCGCACCAGCAGCAGCGGCUCCGCAGCAGAAGACGAGCGUGUGUGGGGCGUGUGCGGGUGCACCUACACGUCCGUCGCGAGCAAGACGUGUUUCUUUACGGACUCGAACCAGACUGAGAUCCUCUUCGAGGGCUCGGUGUUCAAUGCCUCCGCCAAGGACAAGAUCGAGACGAGCCAAUUGAGCGCCUCUCUCCGCGGUCUCUUCACGAGUCAGUACAUCGACGGCACCACGACCACUACCGGGUUCUGGACAAAGCCGUACCUCCGCAGCAGCGCCAGCGGAAACGCGUCUGUCGUCGUGAGCUACGUGCACCCCAGCGAGCACAGCAGCAACGGCUACGUGACGCGGGCUUGCAUUAUCGACAUAAACGCAGCGUGGAUGGCGUACACCCUAAAGGAGAAUCAGCAUAACGGGACGACGGCGCUGUACCUGAUCGACCGGCGCGGCGCGGGCACUUUCCUGGCAUCCAGCACCGCCGUGCAGGCGACGGAUGCGGUCUACGCCGCUCUGAAGACGCCAGACUCGGAGUUCAACCGGAUCGCAAGCGCAGUGUACAGCGCCGCCGGCAAUACUUGGGAGCGAUCGCUGUCGCUGCACAUAGGGACCACCUUGGUGAACUACCAGGUAGUGGAGGGCCAAUGGGGCAUCGUCGAGGUCAUACCAGGGGAUGUAGCGCUCCAGCGCUACCUGCCCACUCCGGCAGUGACCAGCGCCACGGACGCGCUGCGCCUGCUGCCACCCGGGGAGACGGUGCAGCUAUUCCUCUACAUUGGCAGCAUUCUCUUCUUCUUCUUCCUGAACCUGCUUAUUUUGGGGUGCAGCCAUCUCGGUCGACAGUGAGACUGCUGCUGCUGCUUGAUGGUCAUGGGCGAGUAAAGAUGAAAGCAGGACCCAGACGUAACGCCCCCUCCCAGUACUUUUGUGCGUGCGCAAUCCUCUUUUCUUUUUGUUGUGGGUGCUGCGUACGUCGCCCAGUGGAUGGGGGGGUGGGGGGGGGACGGGGGAAGCGGUGCCGCCUGGACGUGCGCUCCAACCGGCCGACUGCCGCCUCUCUACACGGCUCUCCUUGCUCGGCACUCUCCCAAUCCCAGGCAUGCCCCUUUUCGCUUUGCGCGUAUUUCCUAACGGCGUUUUUCUUUGCCUAUUUUUUUUGUUGUUCUGCCCUCGUCUCGUGUACCUGUGUGCUGCUAUGAAGUGUUGUACUUGUGCAUGCUUGUCAGCGGUUUGCCUGACUGUGCUUGUCAUUCCCCUACUCCUCUUUCCCAAUCUAUUGCGAGGGCCGACGCGCCUCCGUUGCCACUGGGGAGCGGAGUGCAGGAACGAUACACGAAGUGCGAACAGCAACUAUCCUAUGCGAAAAAAAAAACGAUAAGUCACCUCGGCACGAGCUGGACCUUUUUUUCUGCUGCAGCACGGGAUGCUGCGCUGGAAGGUAUCCUGCAAACCUGCCUAUGUGCGUGUUUCCGAAGCCCCUCCCUCCCUUCCCCCUACCGACACUCUCGAGCACGUGUGCGCACAUCAGUUUAGCGAUCUCUGUUUUCG